rnacentral:rRNA from 1 species
UACGGGGGCAGCAGUGGGGAAUAUUGCACAAUGGGCGAAAGCCUGAUGCAGCUAUGCCGCGUGUAUGAAGAAGGCCUUAGGGUUGUAAAGUACUUUCAUCGGGGAGGAAAAAACAAAACUAAUAAUUUUAUUUCUUGACGUUACCCGAAAAAGAAGCACCGGCUAACUCCGUGCCAGCAGCCGCGGUAAUACGGAGGGUGCUAGCGUUAAUCAGAAUUACUGGGCGUAAAGAGCACGUAGGUGGUUUUUUUAAGUCAGAUGUGAAAUCCCUGGGCUUAACCUAGGAACUGCAUUUUGAAACUGAAAUACUAGAGUAUCGUAGAGGGAGGUAGAAUUCUAGGUGUAGCGGUGAAAUGCGUAGAUAUCUGGAGGAAUACCUGUGGCGAAAGCGGCCUCCUAAACGAAUACUGACACUGAGGGUGCGAAAGCGUGGGGAGCAAACAGGGAUUAGAUACC